rnacentral:rRNA from 1 species
CCUACGGGCGGCAGCAGUGAGGAAUAUUGGUCAAUGGUCGCGAGCCUGAACCAGCCAAGUCGCGUGAAGGAUGACUGCCCUGCGGAUUGUAAACUUCUUUUAUCAGGGAAUAAAGUCAGGCACGCGUGCCUUUUUGUAUGUACUUUAUGAAUAAGGAUCGGCUAACUCCGUGCCAGCAGCCGCGGUAAUACGGAGGAUCCGAGCGUUAUCCGGAUUUAUUGGGUUUAAAGGGUGCGGAGAGGGGUUGUUAAGUCAGUUGUGAAAGUUUGCGGCUCAACCGUAACAUUGCAGUUGAUACUGGCAGUCUUGAGUACAGUUGAGGUAGGCGGAAUGCGUGGUGUAGCGGUGAAAUGCAUAGAUAUCACGAAGAACUCCGAUUGCGAAGGCAGCAUACCAAACCGCCACUGACAUUGAUGCUCGAAAGUGUGGGUAUCAAACAGGAUUAGAUACCCCAGUAGUC